UCACUUUUGGAUGGUCCCGCGGCGUAUUAGCUAGAUGGUGGGGUAACGGCUCACCGUGGCAAUGAUACGUAGCCGACCUGAGAGGGUAAUCGGCCUCAUUGGGACUGAGACACGGCCCAAACUCCUACGGGAGGCAGCAGUAGGGAAUCUUCCACAAUGGACGAAAGUCUGAUGGAGCAACGCCGCGUGAGUGAAGAAGGGUUUCGGCUCGUAAAACUCUGUUGUUAAAGAAGAACAUAUCUGAGAGUAACUGUUCAGGUAUUGACGGUAUUUAACCAGAAAGCCACGGCUAACUACGUGCCAGCAGCCGCGGUAAUACGCAGGCGGCAAGCGCUGUCCGGAUUUAUUGGGCGUAAAGCGAGCGCAGGCGGUCUUUUAAGUCCUGAUGUGAACAGCUUCUGCUCAACCGAAGAAGUGCAUCGGAAACUGGGAAACUUGAGUGUCGAAGACGACAUUGGACCCCCAUGUGUAGCGGUGAAACGCGUAUAUUU
rnacentral:rRNA from 1 species